rnacentral:rRNA from 1 species
UACGAGGGGGGCAAGCGUUGUUCGGAAUUAUUGGGCGUAAAGGGUGCGUAGGCGGUCUGACAAGUCUGAUGUGAAAUAUAUGGGCUCAACCCAUAGUCUGCAUCGGAAACUGUCGGGCUUGAGUAUGGGAGAGGUGAGUGGAAUUUCCGGUGUAGCGGUGAAAUGCGUAGAGACCCGGAGGAACACCAGUGGCGAAGGCGGCAUCCUGGUCUGCGACUGACGCUGAGGCGCGAAAGCUAGGGGAGCGAACGGG